rnacentral:rRNA from 1 species
AGCGGUAGAGAGGUGCUUGCACCUCUUGAGAGCGGCGGACGGGUGAGUAAUACCUAGGAAUCUGCCUGGUAGUGGGGGAUAACGUUCGGAAACGGACGCUAAUACCGCAUACGUCCUACGGGAGAAAGCAGGGGACCUUCGGGCCUUGCGCUAUCAGAUGAGCCUAGGUCGGAUUAGCUAGUUGGUGAGGUAAUGGCUCACCAAGGCUACGAUCCGUAACUGGUCUGAGAGGAUGAUCAGUCACACUGGAACUGAGACACGGUCCAGACUCCUACGGGAGGCAGCAGUGGGGAAGAUUGGACAAUGGGCGAAAGCCUGAUCCAGCCAUGCCGCGUGUGUGAAGAAGGUCUUCGGAUUGUAAAGCACUUUAAGUUGGGAGGAAGGGCAUUAACCUAAUACGUUAGUGCUUUGACGUUACCGACGUAAUAAACAGCGGCUAACUCUGUGCCAACAGCCGCGGUAAUACAGAGG